rnacentral:rRNA from 1 species
UACGGAGGGUGCAAGCGUUAUCCGGAUUCACUGGGUUUAAAGGGUGUGUAGGCGGAUAUUUAAGUCAGUGGUGAAAUCUCCGGGCUCAACCCGGAAACUGCCAUUGAUACUAUUUAUCUUGAAUAUCGUUGAGGUUGGCGGAAUAUAUCAUGUAGCGGUGAAAUGCAUAGAUAUGAUAUAGAACACCGAUUGCGAAGGCAGCUAACUAAGCGAUUAUUGACGUGAGGCACGAAAAGCGUGGGGGAUCAAAACAGGA